UCUCGGCUUAUCACCGGCAGUCCCCUUAGAGUGCCCAACUGAAUGAUGGCAACUAAGGGCGAGGGUUGCGCUCGUUGCGGGACUUAACCCAACAUCCCACGACACGAGCUGACGACAGCCAUGCACCACCUGUGAACCGGCCCCGAAGGGAAGCCCUGUUUCCAGGGCGGUCCGGCACAUGUCAAGCCCAGGUAAGGUUCUUCGCGUUGCGUCGAAUUAAACCACAUGCUCCGCUGCUUGUGCGGGCCCCCGUCAAUUCCUUUGAGUUUUAACCUUGCGGCCGUACUCCCCAGGCGGGAUGCUUAAUGCGUUAGCUGCGCCACCGACAAGUAAACUUGCCGACGGCUAGCUUCCAUCGUUUACAGCGUGGACUAC
rnacentral:misc_RNA from 1 species